rnacentral:lncRNA from 1 species
CCCCCAACAGCUCAACUCCAGUACCCCCCAACAGCCCUCCAACAGCCCAUCCAGUCCUCCAGUACCCCCCAAUAGCCCUCCUCCAGUCCCCCCAACAGCCCAUCUCCAGUCCUCCAGUACCCCCAACAGCCCUCCUCCAGUCCCCCAACAGUCCAACUCCAGUCCUCCAGGUCUCCAGUCCCCCCAACAGCCCAUCUCCAGUCCUCCAGUACCCCCAACAGCCCUCCUCCAGUCCCCCCAACAGUCCAACUCCAGUCCCCCAGUCCUCCAGUCCCCCCAACAGCCCAUCUCCAGUCCUCCAGUACCCCCAACAGCCCUCCUCCAGUCCCCCCAACAGCCCAUCUCCAGUCCUCCAGUACCCCCAACAGCCCUCCUCCAGUCCCCCCAACAGUCCAACUCCAGUCCUCCAGUCCUCCAGUCCCCCCAACAGCCCAUCUCCAGUCCUCCAGUACCCCCAACAGCCCAUCUCCAGUCCUCCAGUACCCCCCAACAGCCCAUCUCCAGUCCUCCAGUACCCCCAACAGCCCAUCUCCAGUCCUCCAGUACCCCCAACAGCCCAUCUCCAGUCCUCCAGUACCCCCAACAGCCCAUCCAGUCCUCCAGUACCCCCCAACAGCCCAUCUCCAGUCCUCCAGUACCCCCCAACAGCCCAUCUCCAGUCCUCCAGUACCCCCAACAGCCCAUCUCCAGUCCUCCAGUACCCCCAACAGCCCAUCCAGUCUUCCAGUGAUGGAAUAGGACGUAUACACCGGCAUAAAUAAAGUUACUCCUCACCAACUGCAACUUGACGUCGGAACCAAAGCAUUGUGGGAGACUACCUUCUUCUGUUUGUUUUUUUGGAAGCCAAAGGCACUACAUGCUCCUAAAUGGUUGAUGUCGCCACCUAUCAUUGGUUAUUAUCCACCUAUCAUUGGUUAUUAUCCACCUAUCAUUGGUUAUUAUCCACCUAUCAUUGGUUAACAUCCACCUAUCAUUGGUUAUUAUCCACCUAUCAUUGGUUAUUAUCCACCUAUCAUUGGUUAUUAUCCACCUAUCGACAACUGCACCCUCGACAACUACUAUGAUUAUUAUUAUUUGACCAUGCUGGUCAUUUAUGAACAUUUUAACAUUUUAACAUCUUGACCAUGUUCUGUUAUAAUAUCCACC